rnacentral:rRNA from 1 species
UACGGGGGGAGCAAGCGUUGUUCGGAUUUACUGGGCGUAAAGGGCGCGUAGGCGGCGUGACAAGUCACUUGUGAAAUCUCCGGGCUUAACCCGGAAAGGUCAACUGAUACUGUGCGACUAGAGUGCGGAAGGGGCAACUGGAAUUCUCGGUGUAGCGGUGAAAUGCGUAGAUAUCGAGAGGAACACCUGCGGCGAAGGCGGGUUGCUGGGCCGACACUGACGCUGAUGCGCGAAAGCCAGGGGAGCGAACGGG